UACGGAGGGUGCAAGCGUUAAUCGGAAUUACUGGGCGUAAAGCGUGCGUAGGCGGUUCGUUAAGUCUGUUGUGAAAGCCCCGGGCUCAACCUGGGAAUGGCAAUGGAUACUGGCGAGCUAGAGUGUGUCAGAGGAUGGUGGAAUUCCCGGUGUAGCGGUGAAAUGCGUAGAGAUCGGGAGGAACAUCAGUGGCGAAGGCGGCC
rnacentral:rRNA from 1 species